rnacentral:rRNA from 1 species
GAGUUUGAUCCUGGCUCAGAUUGAACGCUGGCGGCAUGCCUUACACAUGCAAGUCGAACGACGCUAGGGGCAACUCUAGCGAGUGGCGAACGGGUGAGUAAUACAUCGGAACGUGUCCUGUCGUGGGGGAUAACCAGUCGAAAGACUGGCUAAUACCGCAUGACCUCGCAAGAGAAAAGCGGAGGACCGCAAGGCUUCGCGCGAUUGGAGCGGCCGAUGUCGGAUUAGCUAGUUGGCGGGGUAAUGGCCCACCAAGGCGACGAUCCGUAGCUGGUUUGAGAGAACGACCAGCCACACUGGGACUGAGACACGGCCCAGACUCCUACGGGAGGCAGCAGUGGGGAAUUUUGGACAAUGGGGGCAACCCUGAUCCAGCCAUGCCGCGUGUGUGAAGAAGGCC